UGGCCAAGUGACGAUCGACGGCUUUUACGACGAUGUCCAGCCGCUGACUGACCUCGAACGGAAGGAGCUCGACGCGCUGCCCGUCGAUGUCGAGAGCGUCAAGGCGUCGCUCGACCUGAACGAGCUGGACCAGCCGGUCGAGCGUGGCUACUUCGAGCGGCUCUCGGCCUGGCCGACCUUCACGAUCAACGGCCUGCACGGUGGCUAUGGCGGCCCCGGCUCGAAGACGGUCCUGCCGCAUGAGGCUGUCGUCAAGUGCGACAUGCGGCUGGUCGA
rnacentral:misc_RNA from 1 species